AUUGAACGCUGGCGGCAGGCUUAACACAUGCAAGUCGAGCGGGGUGAUGGUGCUUGCACUAUCACUUAGCGGCGGACGGGUGAGUAAUGCUUAGGGAUCUGCCUAUUAGUGGGGGACAACAUCUCGAAAGGGAUGCUAAUACCGCAUACGUCCUACGGGAGAAAGCAGGGGAUCACUUGUGACCUUGCGCUAAUAGAUGAGCCUAAGUCGGAUUAGCUAGUUGGUGGGGUAAAGGCCUACCAAGGCGACGAUCUGUAGCGGGUCUGAGAGGAGUAUCCGCAACGCUGGGACUGAGACGCGGCCCAGACUCCUACGGGAGGCAGCAGUGGGGAAUAUUGGACAAUGGGGGGAACCCUGAUCCAGCCAUGCCGCGUGUGUGAAGAAGGCCUUAUGGUUGUAAAGCACUUUAAGCGAGGAGGAGGCUCUUUUGGUUAAUACCCAAGAUGAGUGGACGUUACUCGCAGAAUAAGCACCGGCUAACUCUGUGCCAGCCGCCGCCGUAA
rnacentral:rRNA from 1 species